rnacentral:lncRNA from 1 species
CAGAUGGAACUUUAUUUUAUUACUAAUUUUGCUGGGUGAAUGUCGCUCAGAUCAUGUUAUAGCUCUCAUAUUUCUCAUGCUGCUGCAUUUAAUCAUGCAAAAGCUUCCCCCUGCCAGCUUUCUUCCCCCAGGGAUUUGUAGCAAGCCUAACAUUACAAGAAAAAGGAAGCAAAUAAAUUACUAUUUGUCUUUGAUGAAUGACUCAACUCAUGUUUGUUAAAUUCUAGCACGUCUUCUUGCUGGUGUAUUGUGUUAAUCUUUGCCCUUACGUCUGACAUUAAUGUUGACCUGGCAUCAAACUUUGCUAAAGAGGUUAAUCAUUAUUCGAUUCAAUUAUAUUUAUCUAUUUAUUCAUCUGGAAGUGGGAUCAAACUUUGCUAAAGAGGUUAAUCAUUAUUCGAUUCAAUUAUAUUUAUCUAUUUAUUCAUUUGGAAGUGAGAAUACACGGAUGAGGUUAGAAGAAAACGUUUUAGAUGGGCAAGGUUUACAACCAAAAUAAUUUGAAAGAAACAAAGAAAGAUGAUGAGUUUCAACUUUCAAGUGCUAUUUCGCGGUGCACUGGUCCAUUGACAUGUAAAUGUUGCUAUGGAUUCUCAGAACGACUGCGAGUUGGGAUUACGAGCUUAGAAAAGGAUGGUUGAACUAGGUGAAUUGUGCUACAAUUUAGCAUUUAUGGAGUACCUGAACUUUAAUAUAGACUUCAUGAAACCUAAAUCGAUAUGGGUUAAGAACUUCCAAUUUGAAUCUAACUAACAAUGAACUGUCUCUAAAAAUUAAUAGACAAAAGCAGAAGGUUCCAGAGUAGAGUGCUGGGGCAAUAAUAUUAUUAUAUUUAGCAAAUAUCAAUUUUCUGAGAUAUUCGUGAGCCCCAAAAACUGGUAACAGAGCUUAAAAUCUAGGAACAACAAAAAUUUAGUAGGCAGUUUGACUCAUAAACUAAUUUGUCAAAUGGAGCAGUCUAAUGUAUGCAUUUGAUCAAAUGAAGUUACUGAAUGGUUUUCUUGUGGUAAAAUGUGGCUCUUUAUGGUCCCAUACAGCUGUAAAUAUUAUUUAGAGCUCGAUCUUCGUUUAUGAGUAUAGGAAAGAUUCGACCUUGAACAUAUUUUGCAACUCUUAGCUUGUACUACACCAAAGCAACUUGUGGAAAAUAGUUUUAUACCUAUAUUGUAUAGUUGAUAUCUUAGCAUAUUUAUAGGAGAAAGAUUAUGGCAUUAGAGGAGAUGUUUGGGUAUAAUUAUAGGAGAAUUGUUAAGAAGUUUUUAGGCUUUCUUUAGAAUUGUUCAAUGAAAUAUAUUUGUUGCUGUAGCUUUUUAUAAUUUUUCAAUGAAAUAUAUUUGUUACUGUAGACUUUAGGAUUGUUCAAUGAAAUAUAUGAAAUUUUACAAAAUUCAUCAGGGUAUCAUAGCAUGCCUCCUUAAUUUCUUUUGUGGCCCAAACUGUGAAAAUUUUCCUCUCAAGUGCCAGAAUUUUGUUCUUUGUGGCCGUGAAAGCUGAAAAGAAGUUUUGAUAUUAUGGAUGAUUAGUCCACUUGCAAAACAGUUUCUCAAUCCGCUUCAGCCUAUUUCCUGUCUGAAUUAAAUGGUUUUUAUUUAGAUGUAUUUCAGUCAUGUUCAAUUGUUUUUGGCUCUAUUUAUACCAGCUCAAUGCUGGUUUCUUCUCCCACUUUGCACAAAUGUAGAACAUUUCUUGACUCAUUCCGGCGUAUUUCGGACAAUGUAAUUGAACUAUCAUCUGUCAUCUGAUUCUUAUUUAUCAAUCACCUAAACUAGUCGUGCUUCCUUUUUUGUCAGCAUCACCAAGUGAAUGCAUGUGCUCACUCGACUUGCUUAAAUGGCACUAGCUAUUCAAGUUAUUAUCGAGUCAUUUGAUUCCACAGAGCUAUAUAUCACACGACUACUCAUACAAAUUUGUUUGUUUCCUUUGCCCUUUGUUCAAGCAGACAAAAAGUUAAAUUUGCAAAUGGCUCACUAUCAUCUUUUACCAUUGUUAAAAAAAUGAGACAAUCAUCAGUUUUGGUCUGGUGGGACUGGUGGAUUGUCAUUAUUUAUUUCACAUUGUGAUAACACAUUGUAAUGUGGUUAAAGGGGAUGGUGCUUGUAGUGGCAUCAUAGAAAAGAAAAUUAGUUAUUUCUUAUAGUGGUUCUAUCUGAACGAACUUUAACCAACAAAUAAUUGAAGUAAAUGCUAAAGAUAUAGUUCUUUAAACUUAAAUUUCUGCAAAUUGGAAUUCACUGGACUGAGAAAUAAAAGCUUUUCAAUUGUUAUUUUUCGGGAACAAUGUAGCCUGUCAAAUCUUAAGACUCAAAAUUCCUAUUCUAACUUAAACUGAUAUGAAAGCAAUCCUAGUAAUAUUUGGAACCUAAAAGAAAUACUUAAAAAAGUCCAAAUAAAGUCUAAUAGCUAACUAGUUUAAAUCGAGUGUAAUAUGAAUAAGAAUACUAGUCCGAGAAGACUUCAGAAAAUCGAACUCUCGCAUCUGCUUCAAUUCCUUGAGGGUGAAUAUAUCUCCCUUCGACAAGAAACUUGCAUAUUUCACUUGGUGGCAGGAUCUAAUCACUUGAGCUCUUCUCCUGAUAUGUAAGUUCAUUUUGUAGAAACUUCUUGCCAUUUAAUUGCCUCACUGAAAUAAAAACCCUCUUCAUAUUGAUUCUUAAACUCGUCAAAUCCUAUUAUUCGAGCACGCCUUGUAGUUGGCAAGUAACUACAUUGCUAAGUGCAUCAACUACUUUGUUACUUUCUUUGGCUUUAUGCAUUCAAUGAGAAUAAAAAUUGUUAAAGGAAAGAAUUCCAUUCGUCAUGUUUUAGAUUAAGUUUUUUUCCUUUUUUAGUAAAUUCAUACACCCUAGUGUCACGUGAUUGGUACCAACAAGAAGUCCCAAAACAACAAAUAGUGUACCAAUCUUGAAAAGCUCAAACCUAGGCAUGGAAGUCCAAAUCAUACAUUGACCAAUAGUAUGUGACAGAUCAUUUCCCAAGUGCAUCGACCACUUUGUUACUUUCCUUGGCUUUACACAUUCAAUGAGAUUGAAGAGUGUUAGAGAAAUUCCAUUCGACAUGUUUUAUAUUGAGAUUGUUUUGUAAACUCAUAUACCCAAGUGCCACAUGAUUGGUACAAACAAAAAAUCCCAAUUAACAAAUAGUAAACCAAUAUUGAUCUCAAGCCUAGGCAUGAAAGUCCAAAUCAUAGGUUGACUAAAAGUGUAUGAAUUUUUUUUAUUUUUUGUGGAGUGGGCACAUAUUUUCCAUCUCAACUUACAACGCCCCCUAUCCCCACCUCACUCCACGACAAAAAAUAUAUCAAAAUCUGACAUUAUAUAAAUUGGAGCUUGCGUCAUGACUCUCUUCAAUUGUGUAGUCUCUUCUUUAAAUCCUCAUUGAUAUGGCUCACUAUUGCACCCUCCACUUAAAAUACAUUGAUCUUAUCUUUAUAUGGCUUUAAGCCUUAUAAUGAAAUUCAAAACCAAUUCAUUGCUCAUGAAAGAACACUUCUUCAAGUUAUCAUAAAACUUCUUGUGUCUCAUAGCAUCUAGGACUUGUCUGAUAUGAUUUGUAUGCUUAUCUUUGCCAUAAUUGUAAAUUUUUAUAUGUGGCCAACAUAAACCACAAAAGCUUCAAUGAAAGUUGUUCAUAAUACCGUCAUCACUCCCCAUGAAAGUGUUGGGUGCACUGGAAAGACCAAAAGCACGCAAGAAAUUCAAAUAGUCCAUCUGGAAUGCAGUUUUCACUCAUUUCCACUUCUAAGCCAAAUUUGGUGAUAACCACAUCUUAAGCCUAGCUGGAAAAUAAUGUUGAGCCAACUAGUUGGUCAAGCAUCUCAUCUAGCCAUCGAAUUGGAAUCUAGUGCUUAAGAGUAAUCUAUUUAAUUGUGUGGCCAUCUACACCCAUUCUCCAUGACCUAACCUUUCUUAUGUGUGAGGAUGUAGCUGGUUUUUGUCCUACUUUUGAAUUCAUUGACUGAUAAAUGAAUACUGCAGCUUACGUGUGGGAAGUGGUCAUUGGAACUGUACAAUGGAGAGGGAGGGAGCAUCUCUUCUUUGUUGUCUCAAGAUUUUGCAUUAGUCUUUUGAAGUUUGUUGAUUGGAGUGAUUUGCAUUUGGAGUAUAUGUAUGAAAAUUUAAAGAUUUUCUGUAAUGGACAAUGUAUUUGACUUUUGAUUGGGAGUUUCUGACCUUCAGAAUCCCUUCCCGUAAAAUUCCUGUUGAGUGAUCAUGCUCAUUAGGCAUUCAUCUUCAACUGUUAUUUAUAUGAUUUUGUCUUCUAAUAUCAGAUGCUAUUUUGAUUUUAGUUGUUAUAUUUAGUAAAUUUCGAGAUGAUUUUGAGUAGGAUGUAUUGAUGCAUAUUCAGGAGAAGCGCAAGGAGAAAAAGCAUAAAAAGGAAAAGAGGGACAAGGAAAAGGAAAAGGGAGAAGGUAAAGAGAAAAGGGAGAAGGAUAGAAGUGAAGGGAAACACAGAGAAAAAAGAAGCCGAAAAGAAAAACACAAAAACAGGAAGGAUAAACAUGGGAACAAGAAGACGGAUGAAGAGGACCAAGGCAAAGAUAAAGAGAAAAGCAGCAUCUCUGAGGAGUCGACAGUUGCUGGCAAAAUUGAGGGAAAAAUUGAAGAGAGGCUUCAACCAACAGUGCAUAACGAAGCUACAGGAACUUCCUUGGAUGAAGUGAAACAUGCUACACAGUUUCAGGUUCAGAAUGGAGGGAAACCUAUUCAAAACAACCUCGUUUCCAUGGAGCUCAAGGAAUCAAAGUUUGCAUUGGAGCCAAACAGUAGGAUCAGAAAUCAUGAGAAGGAAUUAGUGAACCAGUUACUUGAGAGGGUCUCAGGAGUGUGCAGAAGGGGGGAUCAAGAUGCAGAAAGAGCUACUGUGAGAGAUUCUUCAGGAUUAUUAGCAGAUGACAAGGGACAGAACAAAGAAAAUGGAGUUCACAGAAAAACUAGUGUGCCAAUAUGGAACCUUGCUGGAAUGGCCGAAUAUAAAGUUGGAGGGAUGCCCAGACUGGUGGAGGAACAGGGUGACCAGAGAUUUGAAGGGAAAGAGAAAUCUGAAGAAAAAGGCGAUGAUCCCAGACUGGUGGAGGAACACGGUCACCAGAGAUUGGAAGGGAAAGAGAAAUCUAAAGAAAAAGGUGAUAUUAAAAGGGGAGAUAGUCAUAAGGAUAAAGAAAGAGAGAAACAUAGCCAUAGAGAGGACAAAAACAAGGAGAAGGAGAAAGAAAAGAAAAAGGUGAAGGUGAAGGAAAAAAGCGAAGAUAAGAAAACUGAGCAGGAUGUAUCGAAAUAUCAACACAGGAAUGAUCUAAUUGGUGUUGCUAGUUGUAAGAGCACGCAAAUGUUGAAAGACUUCAACAGCAAUGCUGUUAAUGAGGGAAAUAUGAGGAAAAGAAAAGAUUUGGGUAGCAAUGGCUUUCUCCAUGGUGAGUCCUAUCUUACAAUGAAAAGGAUUAACAUUAUUGCAACUAUUUCAAAAAAUAUUUGAUGUUUAUUUCCUACUAUCGAGAAAAAAUAAUGGGAAAGCUCUGAGUAGGUACUGCUUGACAUACUAGGUAUCUUUACCCUGUCUUGAGCACAGCUUAGUUUGUUAGAAUUCAGUGUUGCAAUACAAGCUUGUCGACUCUAAUUUAACCAUUUUAUUGGCUGAUAGUGUUACUUGUUUCACAGAGAGUGAAGUCAGGCCUAAUAAAUUGCUGAAGGAAGCUUCUCAUCAAUUGACAGAGAAUGGAAGAUUGGACACUGCCCGAACUCCCAACCUGUUUACUUCUGAUAAGCAGCAAGGAAUUCCUGACAACAUUCGACUGGGUAAAAAGUACCAGGGGGUAAAUGGUAGAAUUGAAGCCCAGAAAUUCUCAGUUUCCAAACCAAAGACUUCUACUGCAACUAUUAUUGCUAAUCAAAUUGCUGAAGCAUCUAAAAAACCUAUCGACUCUGAAAAGUGUAAGAGCAAGGCACUCACAGUUCCCAAGGUGGAGGGUCAAAUUACUGAAGCAUCAAGGAAACCUCCCCAUCCAGAUUCCAAGUAUCUGAGUGUGGUACUCACACUACCCAAGAUGGAGGAGUGGUCUGAAUUUGACGACCAUGACUGGUUGUUUAGC